UCCAGUUAUCCGGAUCUGUGCAUUGCUAAAUCCAGGGGUCAGUGUCCCAGUCUUGAUGACUGCUGCCUCCUCAAAAGACUUCCUUCUCUGGGCCUCUAGGACACCUGCUCUUUUGGUCUCUGCCAUUGUGAAGUGUAUAUUUGGUCUUUGGCCUACUUCCUGGUAUAUGAAUCCUAAAAUCCCUGGAGUCUCCAAAGUGAUAUCUUUUUGUAUGCUCAUGAGUUGACUAAUGGCUGGCGGCCCCUAGGUAGCUUCAGGAUGGGUGCUGGUCACCUGAAAGACCACGGCAGGAUUAGAUGGGUGAUUCAGCCCCACCCCAACCUGGGCUUUCCAUAGGCAUUGGAAACAGGGGGCAGGCUUGUGGACACAGCCCUCAACCUGAGGGAUCUGAUGCUACCUCUAGGUAUUCAUCAUCAGAAUGGAGUUGGAUUGGAGGACAACGUGCUGAUAACUACUGCAGAAUUGAUUGCAUGCUUGCUGGUAGGAAGAAAUCCUCACAUAUUGGGUCACAGAAGUCUUCUGUGUUGAUUAUUUUUGAGUAAGAGAAUAGACAAAACACUUCAAGUGUGUUUUUUCACACUCGGUGUCUCCUAUAAUACUUGAUGGGCUACUCCUUCUCAGCCUCAGUCUCAUUUGCGGGUUUCCUUCCUCUUUCUAGUUUCCAAAAACUAGCUUCUUAGGAGGUCUUUGAUCUUUCCGUGUUCACCCCCUAUCCCACAGCUUUAAAGACAUCUACAGGAGGAAGACUUUCAUACUAAUAUCUAGACCUGCCUUCCAAAUUGCAUGCUCACACACUUAACAUCUCCUCUGACAUUCUAUAGGCUCUCAAAUUUUGCAUAUCCAGAGCCGAACUCUCCAUUUUUACCACAGACGUGUUCUUUGCACAGUCCUUCACAUCUCAGUUCUCAUAUCAACCUCAUUCUUUCUAGUUGCUCAUGUAAAAAAGGAAAAAUUCUAGAGUCCAUAUUCUACAUCCCAACCAUCAGCAAAUCCUUUCCAUUCUGCUUCAAGAUCUACCCAGAAUCCAGUCGCUCCCACUCCCUCUGGCCUGCAUUGCUGCAGUGGACUUUCAACCAGUCUCCCUGAGUCCAUCCUUGUCCCUACCCACUCCACUCCUGAGAGUGGCUCUUGUUCUCAGCCAACGCUAGCUGGAGAGCUGGGGUAAGUUAUGGCUGGAUUUAAUGAGGGUGACACAGGGAAAUGGAAGGAACACUGUCCCCACGAAUUCCUGACUGCUAGACCAAAAGGAAAGCCACUUCCAUGGUGACAUUUCCUGCAACAAAUAGCUCAAAUUCUAGUUCCUUCCUUCUCUCCCAUUUGUGAGUCUCUGACCUGGCAAAGGAAAGUUACCUAAAAUGUAUCUGUUCUCUCCUUUCUCCUUUUAUGUGAGCCUGAAGAUUUGAACCGUGAGCCAUCCAGAUACAGGCUGGGACUAACAUACAUGCAGACCUCCCUCCAGAAGGAAGACCAAACAGAAAACCACCAGAUCUGCUAAAUGAUAAUGUGGUUAAUGCUAAGAAGCACAUUCCCAGCAGUUAGAACAAAGGAACCUUUCCGAGUAUUGUUAAAUGACCGCCUGACCCAUGAGGCCACUUUGGGACUCUGACUGUCGUGAUUCCAGUACCCAGAAUGGACAAAACCAGAGGCCAGACCAUGAGGCCAGUUCCAUCAAGCCCGCCCUGGGCCAGCAGGAAGAUGAGCAAGACUGAGAGGAGAUUUGAUUCAAGCUGAAAGAGACCGGGGAGGUGCAGGACUUGAGGAAGAAACUAGACAUGUGAGAGCUGUGGCCCUGCAGAUGGGAGAGGGGGUACAAGUGGAGGCCAUUCUAGUGGGUGAUUUCCUUCAGAUUAAGACAGGUAGUAUGUAUAUGGGGCAGGAGGAGAAGGGCAUGGAUGGGAUCAGUAAAGAGGAAGACCUCCAGCCAAGGAUGUCAUUUUCUGAAGAAACCAACCCAGGGUAGGAAGGCAUGAGCGUGAUGAAGUACAUGGAGACAAAGACAAAGCAAAGGAAAGGGCUCCUGGACCACAGGAACAGAAAAUCAAACUGAAGAGUGCAGAGGACUGUCUCUAUGAACUUUCAGAAAACACAUGUUUGCUCCUCAAAGAAGGCCAAGGAGAUGCUUCCCACCCAAUGCUGGGUGCAUCCCAAGGUGGAUGUCUGCACUGAUGCUGAAAUAGAAUGCAUUGCCACCAAGGAAGCUAAAGCCUGGCUGCUAGCAGAGGAUCAGAAUAAGAAGAAAGACAUUGAGACAUCUUGUGUGCACCAACAUGUGUGAUUAUGUGUGGUACCACCCAUUUGAUCCCAACGGCUCAAUGCCCUCACAGAGAGAAACAAAGAAGAGUCCAAGGCCUGGCCCUAGAGUGGAUGACACCAAGAAGCCUAAGCAGUCCCUUCCAAAUCACCAGUGUCCUGCUAAAGAGAAGGCCACCGAUGCCCAUCACCAUGAAGAGUUCAAGAAAAACGAACAGUCCUGAGAGCUGCUGAAGGGAAGAUAUGCAGGAUGGGCUGUAAAUAGCACCCCUCCCCUAAUAAAAAAAGACUUCCUGGACCAAGGCCUACUGAUUGGGAGUAGCAGACAGUCCCCCAAAUCCACUCUAUUAGUCCUGCUGCUCACCUGCCUGAUUUCUCAAGCACUGGAUGUGUAAUCUUUUGAGACAAAACAAUAUUCAGUUUUCCUACUUGGAGGCAACUUCAUUCUUAGGAGCAUUGACAUAUAUUUUGUAUAUGUAUUACAUACCGUGUUCUUAUAAUGAAGCAAGCCAGAAAGUGUUAUUAAGAAAAUCACAAGGAAGAGAAGAUAUAUUUACUAUUGAUUAAGUGGAAAUGGAUCAUUACAAGUUCUUCACCCUCGUUGUCUUCGCAUUGAAUAGGCUGAGGAGGAGGAAGAAGAUAAAGAGUUGGUCUUGCUGUCUUAGGAGU
rnacentral:lncRNA from 1 species